rnacentral:lncRNA from 1 species
UACAUGUUAGCCAAGAGUCAAAGCUGGCUUGGUGCAAUUAAAGUCCACAACCCCUUCAUUUAUACUGAUGCAUAUGUAGAUAGUUCGGAUGUAAAUCUUGCUAAGUACCUUUGUACUUAGGGUUGCUUUAUUAUGAUUUUGUAGAGGAGACCUUGGUAUCACUAUUGGUUUUGUAUGAGAAGUUUGAUGUUGGCCGGGUUAGCUUGGGAAUUCCAAACAAAGGCCUCGCUCCUUUGGGAGGGUCACUGUAGAUUUUCAGGCUCCUCGAGCCACUUUUACUAGAUGUAUGUACCCAGACAUGUCAUGCUUCCGCCUGAUGCUUGUAUGACUUGAGUGUUGGGGCAUGUGACCCCUGUUUGUAAUAU